AGAUUAGAUUAUUGUGCGUUAAGUAUCAGUAGGACGUGGAGUGCCUCUGGGCGAAAAACUUAUGUUUGCGGUACAAUAUUCGCUCC
rnacentral:ncRNA from 2 species